ACCUACUUAUAGUAGGAGGCAACUCACAAGGAACACAAGCCUUCUCGAGGGAUACAACAAUACAUGUUCUGCCUCAAAUGAGUAAGUCCUUGUCAACAGCUUCAAAACUAGCUAUUAUCAUUAUCCCUAUUGUGAUGUUGGUAACAGGACUUGUGACUUUGCUGGUGUUCCUCUUUCUCCCUAACAACACCAAGGCUGUUUCUCAGGAUGGCUACUUAAUUGGUGUUGGCCGAGGAGACUGCACUGGUCCAGUGGCUGAAGUA